rnacentral:rRNA from 1 species
AUGCUGGUCCCGGCGCCUUACAAGGUGCCGAAGAAGACGGCCGAGAAGGAGGCCAAAAAGACCCGGGGCGGCCUUCAUCGCCGUGGCACUUCGGACACGAUAUCCGAAGGCUCUGAUGCCCGUUCUGCCUUUGAAGAGGAGGAGGAGGAAGAUGAAUCCCCUGCGGGGGGAAGAAAGAAGAGGACGGCCUCCGUACACUUGGAGGUCGAGCCGCCCAAAAGGGGAAAGGCUCCUCUUCCGGAGGAGUCCACUGGCGCCGCCGACAGCGGCCCGGCGUGGGAUCCCAGGGCCCAGCCCCUGUGA